rnacentral:rRNA from 1 species
AAAACAUGGUCUUUUGUUUAUAUAAAAGAUCUGGCCUGCCCAAUGAUAGUAUUUUAAUGGCUGCAGUAUUUUGACUGUACAAAGGUAGCAUAAUCAUUUGUCUUUUAAUUGGAGUCUGGAAUGAAUGGUUGGAUGAAAGGUUUACUUUCUUUAUUUUAGGAAUAAAAUUUAAUUUUUAGGUCAAAAAGUUUAAAUAAUAAUAUAGGACGAGAAGACCCUAUAGAACUUUAUUUGUGAUGAGUAUUAAUUAAUUUGUUAAUAAUGGAUAUAUACUUUUUUAUAAAUUGUGUUGGGGUGAUUGAAAAAAUUUUUUAACUUUUUUUGAUUAUUACAUUUAUAUAUGUAUUUUUGAUCCUUUACUAUGGAAUAUAAGAUUAAGUUACCUUAGGGAUAACAGCGUUAUUAUUUUAGAGAGUUCUUAUUGAUAAAAUAGUUUGCGACCUCGAUGUUGGAUUAAAGUUGGCUUCAGGAGUAGAAGAUUGAUGGCUGGGUCUGUUCGACCUUUAAAUUUUUACAUGAUCU